UCAACAACUAGAGGUCACCGUGACCCAAAACUUCCUGCGUUCUCAGGCCUGGCAACGCCUGCCAAAGCUAGCCAUGGUGGGGGUAGGGGAGCGCCGCUUGUGGGGAGCUGACCAAGUGUGGUGUCGGCCGCCCUGCCUGCCAACAGACAGCAACACUGGUUUUCCACUGCCGGCCAUUCAUUGGACUUGGACAGCUUUGUUCCUUCUCUGGGACCAAGUCAACAAGCUGGGACCAGAGGAGCUGCGGCUGUAGCACGCAGGGACCGAACAAAAGAGCAAAUAUACAGAUAUCCCUGGAAGCCAGAGUUCUUGGAAGGAAGAAAUACACAUACAGAAUGGGAGAAGGCCUUCCUUCAUCCCCUCAACCCUCAGCUUUGUGGCCUCUAUCUUGGACUGUCAAAGGCCAGUUUAAACAAUGGUCACACAGAGAUUCACACUUCUCGCAAGCCCCAACUCAAUCUCCUGCCAUGUUUUUCAGCUGUCUGAAUCGUGUGCACGGUUGUGGGACAUUUGGACUACAGAUAAGAAAAUGUGGCACAUAUACACCAUGGAAUAGUAUGCAGCCAUAAAAAAUGAUGAGUUCAUGUCCUUUGUAGGGACAUGGAUGAAAUUGGAAAUCAUCAUUCUCAGUAAACUAUCGCAAGGACAAAAAACCAAACACCGCAUGUUCUCACUCAUAGGUGGGAAUUGAACAAUGAGAACACAUGGACACAGGAAGGGCAACAUCACACUCUGGGGACUGUUGUGGGGUGGGGGGAGGGGGGAGGGAUAGCAUUAGGAGAUACACCUAAUGCUAAAUGACGAGUUAACGGGUGCAGCACACCAGCAUGGCCCAUGUAUACAUAUGUAACUAACCUGCACAUUGUGCACAUGUACCCUAAAACUUAAGUAUAAUAAUAAUAAAAAAAAAGAAAAAAAAAGGAGAGAUUAAUAACACAUAAAUAGCCAACUGGUGGAGCAAAACUCUCACAACCAGCCCAGGACCACCUGCCACUUGAUUCGUAUGUACGAGAGAAAUAAUUUAUCUAGUGUAUUCUAUUUUUUAUUUUUUCUAUUGCUCCUGUAACAAAUUACCACUGUAUUAGUAGCUUAAAACAACUUGAAUUUAUUUUCAUACAGUUUUGGAUGUCAGAAGUCCAAAAUUCAAGGUGCAGGACUGCUUUCUUUCUGGAGGCCCUAGGGGAAGAAUCUGUUUCCCUGCUUUUUCCAGUGUGUAGAAGUCACCUACAUUCCUUAGGUCACGGCCUCUUCCUUGCAUUACAGCAACCUCUGCUUCAGUCAUCACAUUUUCUUUUCUGACUCUGCGCCUCCUCCCUCUCUCAUGUGAAGACUCUUGUGAUUACAUGGCGCCCACUCAAAUUGUUCAUG
rnacentral:lncRNA from 1 species